GACCCACAUCCUGUGAAAGGAGUCGGACAGAGAGAGACUGAGGGCAUACUGUCAUGUGAAUGAGGUCGGUGGGAUGGAUGCUGAUGUCUACCAGAGCACCUUGCUGGAAUUGAGAAUGGCCUCAUUGACAGAGAGCGAUAUUUCGGAUGAGGAUGUGCGCAGGAUGUCAAGCAGUUUAUGUUGAUCUUUCACUUCCUUCCGCCAAAGGAAUCUGGAGAGAGUCUGCAAUCCAGCAAAACAAAGCCUGGAAGUGUUUGAAGUCAUUGGCUACAGUAGAGAGAUGUGUGAUCUUUUCUUCCCAUGAUGAGGCUAAGUGGAGUGAUACUAUGGCGUCCAAUGUGGCAAGGGCAAAUUGCUCGAAAAAGGAAAGAACAAGAAGCAGAUUGACAUAUGAUAAACCUCCCACUAUGUGUGGGGUUAAAAAUACUGUUUUAAAAGUCUCUUAUGACCUUUCAUGUGUUAAUGGAUAUUGGUCUUUAUUACUAAAGAACACACAUGAUUAUGGUACUUCACAAACUCAUAGAAAUGUCUGGAAGGGACCUUGAGAAGUCAUCAAGUCCAUCCCCAUGUGUCAGGAACUCAGCUGGCUCUGGGCAUGGUUGUGUGGCAACCAAAUGAACUUGGCUGGGCCAAACAAACCCUCUUUAAGUGACUGUGCUCCAUGACUGGACAGAAGGGCCAAGAGAUCAGAUCAUCCUUUAAGCCUUUCAGCAACAGCAGCACAGUGACUGCUCAAUGUAUUCCAUCCUCACAGCUGCACCAGACCUGCUUCCUGUACCAGCCCUUGCUCCAACUGAUGCCUGCCCUGUCAUAAACAGAUAGGAAAGGGUUAACAAGUCCAUUAAACCUGGCUAACA